UCUUAUGGACAAGCAAUGAAAGUGGUUUCUUGAGAUGGAAUCUACUCCUGGUAAAGAUCCUGUGAA
rnacentral:pre_miRNA from 1 species